rnacentral:misc_RNA from 1 species
UUUUCCCCUCUUCUUUUUUAAAUAUAAUUAUGUUACUUUGAUUUUCCAAAGAAUGAGUGCUAAAAGCUAACUUCUUAGGAUUGAAUAAAAGCUUUCAAUGUAAUUUUAUGCUUGUUAUGUGCUUAAUUCUGAUGUUGACUAAUUAUAAGGGGCAAUUGUCUGUUAAAACUUGUGACUUGGGGUACAUAUAGUAGAAGUUCUAGAUCAUGCAAUAUUGGGAUAUGGUUACUUGGCUCUUGUUAUUUUGUUAUUGCAUGUAAAACAGGAAGACUCUGUGUGUAUGGAAUAGUCUAGAACUGGGUGUGCAAAUGCAGAUAGAAGCUGAUUAAUUUUUUACUGGA